CACAUUACCAUUGCACAAUUGAGUCAAGGUCAAAAAGUAUCCAGACCAGUUAAAAUAAAAUACAUUGCCAAUUCAGAACGCAUAAAAAUUGCAACUGCACAAUUAAAUCUAGGAACAAUUAAUGUGUCUGAUUUUUUAAUUCAAUGUUCCUAUACCGCAGAGACUUAUAUUCGAGAAGAAUUAAACUGGUACACUCUUGUCGAACCUAACCUUAUAGUUGAUAAUGAUGAUCUCACACAAUCGGAUGGAGAUGAUAGUGUAUCGGUCGCUGAAGAUAUUCCUCGCCCCGUUGUAAAUUUUGCUGAUCUCACACAAUCGGAUGGAGAUGAUAAUGUAUCAGUCGCUGAAGAUAUUGUUCACCCCGUUGUAAAUUUUGGUAACUAAUAGUUAAAUUUUAAAUAUAUCUGAAUCAAAUUAACAAGGC